rnacentral:rRNA from 1 species
GAUGAACGCUGGCGGCGUGCCUAAUACAUGCAAGUCGAGCGAACAGACGAGGAGCUUGCUCCUCUGACGUUAGCGGCGGACGGGUGAGUAACACGUGGAUAACCUACCUAUAAGACUGGGAUAACUUCGGGAAGCCGGAGCUAAUACCGGAUAAUAUAUUGAACCGCAUGGUUCAAUAGUGAAAGACGGUUUUGCUGUCACUUAUAGAUGGAUCCGCGCCGCAUUAGCUAGUUGGUAAGGUAACGGCUUACCAAGGCGACGAUGCGUAGCCGACCUGAGAGGGUGAUCGGCCACACUGGAACUGAGACACGGUCCAGACUCCUACGGGAGGCAGCAGUAGGGAAUCUUCCGCAAUGGGCGAAAGCCUGACGGAGCAACGCCGCGUCAGUGAUGAAGGUCUUCGGAUCGUAAAACUCUGUUAUUAGGGAAGAACAAAUGUGUAAGUAACUAUGCACGUCUUGACGGUACCUAAUCAGAAAGCCACGGCUAACUACGUG